rnacentral:rRNA from 1 species
AUAAUCCUGGCCUUAUCUGUUUCCUUUGGGUUUAAAGGGUCUGUAGGCGGGCUGGUAAGUCAGAGGUGAAAGCGCUUAGCUCAACUAAGCAACUGCCUUUGAAACUGUUGGUCUUGAAUGGUUGUGAAGUAGUUGGAAUGUGUAGUGUAGCGGUGAAAUGCUUAGAUAUUACACAGAACACCGAUAGCGAAGGCAUAUUACUAACAAUUAAUUGACGCUGAUGGACGAAAGCGUGGGGAGCGAACAGGAUUAGAUACCCUGGUAGUCCACGCUGUAAACGAUGGAUACUAGCUGUUUGGUUUAAGGAUUGAGUGGCUAAGCGAAAGUGAUAAGUAUCCCACCUGGGGAGUACGUUCGCAAGAAUGAAACUCAAAGGAAUUGACGGGGGCCCGCACAAG